AGCGGCCAUACCAUGCUGAAUAUACCGGUUCUCGUUAGAUCACCGAAGUCAAGCAUCAUUGGGCGCGGUCAGUACUUGGGUGGGUGACCACCUGGGAACACCGCGUGCCGUU